rnacentral:rRNA from 1 species
UUAAGCAUAUCAAUAAGCGGAGGAAAAGAAACCAACAGGGAUUGCCUCAGUAACGGCGAGUGAAGCGGCAAGAGCUCAAAUUUGAAAGCUGGCUCCUUCGGGGUCCGCAUUGUAAUUUGCAGAGGAUGCUUCGGGAGCGGCCCCCAUCUAAGUGCCCUGGAACGGGCCGUCAUAGAGGGUGAGAAUCCCGUCUGGGAUGGGGUGCCCGCGCCCGUGUGAAGCUCCUUCGACGAGUCGAGUUGUUUGGGAAUGCAGCUCUAAAUGGGUGGUAAAUUUCAUCUAAAGCUAAAUACUGGCCGGAGACCGAUAGCGCACAAGUAGAGUGAUCGAAAGAUGAAAAGCACUUUGAAAAGAGAGUUAAACAGCACGUGAAAUUGUUGAAAGGGAAGCGCUUGCGACCAGACUCGCUCGCGGGGUUCAGCCGGCCUUCGGGCCGGUGUACUUCCCCGCGGGCGGGCCAGCGUCGGUUUGGGCGGCCGGUCAAAGGCCCUCGGAAUGUAACGCCCCCCGGGGCGUCUUAUAGCCGAGGGUGCCAUGCGGCCAGCCCGGACCGAGGAACGCGCUUCGGCUCGGACGCUGGCAUAAUGGUCGUAAGCGACCCGUCUUGAAACACGGACCAAGGAGUCUAACAUCUACGCGAGUGUUCGGGUGUCAAACCCGUGCGCGCAGUGAAAGCGAACGGAGGUGGGAACCCCUCGGGGUGCACCAUCGACCGAUCCUGAUGUCUUCGGAUGGAUUUGAGUAAGAGCGUAGCUGUUGGGACCCGAAAGAUGGUGAACUAUGCCUGAAUAGGGCGAAGCCAGAGGAAACUCUGGUGGAGGCUCGCAGCGGUUCUGACGUGCAAAUCGAUCGUCAAAUUUGGGUAUAGGGGCGAAAGACUAAUCGAACCAUCUAGUAGCUGGUUCCUGCCGAAG